rnacentral:lncRNA from 1 species
UGGUUUUAUCAGUGUAUGUGUGUGGUGUAUCACAACAAACAAAAAGCCUAAACAUAUUUUCUAGAUGUAUGAGUACAUUACUGACCUUUCCAUGCCUCAGACUUUUCAUCUAGAAAGGGGCUUCUAAAAAGCACAUAACUCAAAGGAUCAUUAAGCAAAGCACAUACAGUGGUAUGUCAGUAAUUGUUAUCUAGGUCGUUGAUAUCUCCUUAAUAUUUUUAGGAAAGCAUUGGCUAUUUAUAUUGUCUAUUGAAUUGUCCACUUGGAUUAAUUAAAUAUUUUUAUUUCAAAAGGUGGAAACCCAACUCUCAUGAUCUCCAUCCCAAACCUCCUGGAAAACGGGAUCAGUAGCAUCUUUAAUUUUUCUGGAUGUGCUACUGCAUAGAUUCUUCGGAGCCCAUCAGAGGAAUGUUAUCACUAACGAGAAAGGGAGUUACUUCAAACACAACGAGGAAAUUUCCUAUAUACAUACAAACAAUGGAAGCAAUGACAUAAAAUCCAUCCUAAAUCAGAUCCAUAUUCGUGAAUUUGGAUUUGAAGCCAAGCUGGCACAGUAGGAUUGAAUUUGACUAAAAAUUUACCACAGAUAUCACAGCCAGGUGAGGAGCAAUGAUCUAAAUACCAACACUACAGUGUGGAGCCCUGUGAUAAAGUGGAUCAGACCUACCAAAUCAGUAAGUACCAUCAUGCACAUAAAAACAUAGCCUUACUCCUGUGCCUGGGUAGUAUAGUCAGUUAAGCAUCCGACUCUUGGUUUUGGCUUAGGUCGUGAUUUCAGGGUCGUUUGAUGGAGGCCCGUGCUGGGUUCUGCACUGAGCAUGAAGCCUGCUUGAGACUCUCCCUGUCUUUCCUUCUGCCCCUCCCGCUUGUGCUAUCUCUC